rnacentral:rRNA from 1 species
AUUUAACGCUGGCGGCAUGCUUUACACAUGCAAGUCGGACGAGUGGCGAACGGGUGAGUAACGCAUCGGGACGUACCUAGUAAUGGGGGAUAACUGUCCGAAAGGACAGCUAAUACCGCAUACUAUUCGAGAGGCCGAUGUGGGAUUAGCUGGUUGGGGGGUUAAAGGCCCACCAAGGCGACGAUCAGUAGCGGGUCGGAGAGGAUGAUCCGCAAGACGGGGACUGAGACACGGCCCAGACUCCGACGGGAGGCAGCAGUGGGGAAUCGUGGACAAGGGGCGCAAGCCUGAUUCAGACAUGCCGCGUGUAUGAAGAAGGCCUUCGGGUUGUAAAGUACUUUUGGCAGGGAAGCGUUACCUGAAGAAUAAGCACCGGCUAACUACGUGCCAGCCGCCGCGGUAAUAC